GUAGAUUUCAAUAAGCCAAGGCUCUACAUUUAAUCAAAUUAGUCUUCUCGGGUGGUUUGUUUUGAAAGCUGAGAAUUAUGGGAGUCAUCUUAUAUGAAGGGCAGGUUGCCAGCAAAGUCCCACCUGCCAAACUGUUCAAGAAGUUUGUUCUUGAGAGCCUGACCCUCCUCCCCAAGGUCUUGCCCCAGGCUCUUGAAAGUGUAGUCAAUCUUCAGGGAGAUGGAGGGCCUGGUACCAUCAGACAAGUUCACUUCAGCAAUGGGA
rnacentral:misc_RNA from 1 species